UGGAGCUGGUGGUUCUGGAUCAGCCCCUCCGCGGCCUGGGCUUCCCCCGGGGGGGUGUGUGUGAUCAGAGCGCUGUUCUGGGAGCGGUGAGAUCUUUAACAUGCAGAGACUCAGUCAGUCAGUCAGUCAGUGAGUCAGUGAUUCAGGUCCAGCGCCGCCGAGCUCUCCGCCUUAAAGCUACACCAGCUGAUUAACAUCCCGCAGACCGAGUCCCACACUGACCCGAGACUCAGCCCGAGCCGCCGCCGAGCUCUCCGCGCUCCGCCGCUCAGACACGGUACUUACAUCUCCCUCAUCUGCUGUCCUGAGGUACAGAUUCCUCCCUCAGACGAAGUCUACAUGGCUAAUGCAGCUGUGUACUGUCCGACGACCUCAACCUGCCAGAGCUGGUUGUAUCUCUGUGCUGCCAAGUUCCUCUCCCCACAUCACGCAGAGCUCCAGCCUUCAGAGCUGAACAAUAAACGAUGGGAGUAAUUACGCGCUCUGCUGUUAUGAAGCUGAAUAUCUGGGAGAGUUUACACAUGGGUUCAAAAUUACACAGCAGGAUACUUACUGACUACCUACACACCAAUUACUGCCUUCCACCAGCUUACAGUCGCAGCGAGGUUUCAGACACAAGACAUAUACUGUAUACUGUACACUGAGACAUGUGGAAUUUCUUUAUAUUAAACAUAUCGUCCCUUUUAUUCGAAAACCUUGUACGUUUAUGUCUGUGAAUUUGAUGUAAUGUGAAUCUGGUAGCUGUUCCUUACAUUGUUUCAGAAUUGUACAAUAAAUAGACCAUAUACAUAGUCUUUAUUACACAUUAUAGUGUUAAACAGUACCAGUUAAAAGUUUAUCACCUGGAAUAGUUUUCUCAGCAUCUUGAAGGAAGGAGUUCCUGGAGGUGCUGAACAAUAGUUGCUGCUUUUCCUUCAGACUGUGAAGCUCCAACUCAUCCCAAUUAAAUCACCUCAAAUCACCAUCUCAGUUCAUCAGGUUUAGAUCAGGGGAUUGAUGUCGAGGAAUAACACUUUUUUUUUACUGUUUAGUACAUAAUUCCAUACGUGUCCCUUAAUUGUUUUCAUGCCUUUGAUAUUAAUAUACAGUGUGGAAAAUAAAUUAAAUAAAGAAAUGAAGAGAAAAACACUGAAAGAACAGGUGUCCAAACUUUUUUUUUUUUUUUUUUUUUUUUAUUUCAGCUUAUUUUUAAUUUAAAUUCACUGCUACAUAAUUAUUCAUCAUUAUCUACCUGUGUGAGAGAUACUGUGUUUUUAUUGUAUUAAAUACGUUUUGUUGCUGCUUUUUUCUUAAUAGUUUUGUUUUUACUUUUUCUUGUUUCAGAAUGCAAAAUAUUUUUUGUCACAUUUGUUUCAGAUUUUUGUAGGUUUUUAUGUAUUUCUACUAUUUUUUGUCUUUUACUUAUUUUUUAUUAAAGUAAAACUAAUAAAUAGGAAAAAUAACUUAAGAACAAAGGAAAAACAGAAAUGAAACUUUUAUGAGUUAAAAGCUAUUAAGAACAACAGAAAAAGUAAUAAAACUUUUAAAGUUGUUUAAAGCUUCCUGAAAACACUUUAUUUAUAUAAAUAUAUA